CUACGGGCGGCUUCAGUGGGGAAUAUUGCACAAUGGGCGCAAGCCUGAUGCAGCCAUGCCGCGUGUAUGAAGAAGGCCUUCGGGUUGUAAAGUACUUUCAGCGGGGAGGAAGGGAGUAAAGUUAAUACCUUUGCUCAUUGACGUUACCCGCAGAAGAAGCACCGGCUAGCUCCGUGUCAGCAGCCGCGGUAAUACGGAGGGUGCAAGCGUUAAUCGGAAUUACUGGGCGUAAAGCGCACGCAGGCGGUUUGUUAAGUCAGAUGUGAAAUCCCCGGGCUCAACCUGGGAACUGCAUCUGAUACUGGCAAGCUUGAGUCUCGUAGAGGGGGGUAGAAUUCCAGGUGUAGCGGUGAAAUGCGUAGAGAUCUGGAGGAAUACCGGUGGCGAAGGCGGCCCCCUGGACGAAGACUGACGCUCAGGUGCGAAAGCGUGGGGAGCAAACAGGAUUAGAUACCCCAGUAGUC
rnacentral:rRNA from 1 species